GGAGAGAUGGCAGAGUGGCCGAAUGCGGCACCUUGCUAAGGUGCUGAACCGUUUUGACGGUUCCGAGGGUUCAAAUCCCUCUCUCUCCGCCA
rnacentral:tRNA from 1 species